UUUUUAACUGCCUACACUCAUAUACGUGAGCAAAAAAAUAACCUAAAACUGCAAGUUACGUUUAAAAGGGAAGCAGAGCAUAAAAGGUUGAAAAACUUGCAGCCUGGCCAUGUGGUAGUAAAGAAAAGCUCAUUCAGGGGUGAAAUUAAAGCAGGUGGCAAAAAUUUGCAUAAGUAAAAAGGAGCCAAGUGCUGAUGGCCAAGACAAUGGGAAGAAAUCUUUGGAGGCAUUUCAGAGAACUUCAUGGCAACCCCUCCCAUCACAGGUCCAGAGGCCUAGGAGAGAAGAAUGGUUUCAUGAGCUAGGCCCAGGGUCCUGAUGCCCUGAACACUGGUCCCUGCAUCCUAGUCACUCCAGCUCCAGUUGUGGCUAAAAGGAACCCAGGUAAAGCACAGGCCACUGCUUCAGAGGGUGCAAGCCCUAAGUCUAGGCAGCUUCUACAUGGUGUUAAGCCUGUGGAUGUGCACAGUACAAGAGUUGAGGCUUGGGAACCUCUGCCUAGAUUUUGGAGGAUGUAUGGAAGAGCAUGGAUGUCCAGGCAGAAGCCUGCUGCAGGGGCAGAGCCCUCAUGGAGGACCUCUACUAAGGUAGUGUAAAGAGGAAAUGUGGGGUUGGAGCCACAUAGAGUUCCCACUGGGGCACUGCUUAGUGGAGCUGUGAGAAAAGGGCUACCAUCCUCCAGAUCAUAGAAUGGUAGAUCCAGUGGCAGCUUGCACUCUGUGCCUGGAAAAGCUGCAGACACUCAACACCAGCCUAUGAGAGCAGCCAUGGGAAGGGACCCCUACAAAGCCACCAGGGUGGAGCUGCCCAAGGCCUUGCCUCAGAGUGCUGUGGACGUGAGACAUGGAGUCAAAGGAGACUAUUUUUGAGCUUUGAGAUUUAAUGACUCCCCUACUGGGUUUCAGACUUGCAUGGUGCCUGUAGCUACUUUCUUUUGGAUGAUUCGUCUCUUUUGGAAUGGGAAUAUUUACCCAAUGCCUGUGCCCUCAUUGUAUCUUGGAAGUAACUAACUUGUUUUUCUAUAUUUACAGGCUCAUAGGUGGAAGGAACUAGCCUUGUUUCAGAUGAGACUUUGGAUUUUGGACUUUGGGCUUAUUUCUCCCAGAAGUAAAACUCAGAUGACUAGGACAAGCUGUGGUGAGAGAAGCCAUUGGCUGCCAUCUAGACUGUGUUGAAAGCACACAGUCACUUGUUAAAGGCAGUAAGUGUUCACGGCUGACCUUCGCUUGGACAGGGAGGCAUUGUAGCAUAAAGGAAGAAUAUUAGACAUUGAAUUCAGAGAAAUAUUGGCUUUACCACUAAAAAACAAUGUGACUCUGGCAUUUAUGAAUAUCAUCUGUCUAAUCUGGAGAAACACGUCUUAUAGUUGGCCACUCUCAUGGUUCUUGUUGCCUUCUGUUGUUUGGAGGAAUCUAAGGAUUUAUGGAAGUUAUGUUGGUAUAUCAGAAGCUUGUUGGUAUAUAUUUGAGUAGAAGGGCUUCAAUGAAGUCAACUUAUACCACUAAGUGGAUUGUUGAUUCUUCGAUGGAUGAGGCUGUAUAAGGGGAUCAACAUUAAUCAAUGUUGCUGACAGGCUGGACAUUCAGCAGCAACCUUGACAAGAGAAUGAAGGCCAAAUUGAGUUUCCUUGAGCAACUCAUUUAACGUUAAGAAUCAAGAUGGUGCCCAAGCUCAGAUGACAUCCUUUCUAACCCAUUUGGAAGGCUCCUCUCAUAGGAGGUGUGAAAGAAAAGAGAAUGGAAAGGAACAGGCUCUUCUCUUGAAGAAAAGCCCUCAGUCCAUACAGCCAGACUUUGUCUACAUAUGCCUUUCUAUGGGAUGCUGAGAGACCAAGGGCUUCUGACAUAGACAUGUGAGAAAUACUGGCUUUAAGUAUACUAUACUCAGUGUCAAAAGCUUUCAGGAUGCAAGAAAUUCCUGAAUUUGAGUCUCCAAAAUUUUAAACAAGGAAAGGAAGUAAAAAUUAUCUCUUUUUCGAUGUAUGGCCCUAUAGUUGGCCAAAAAUGAUUGCUUCUGUUGUUAGAUAUUCAUGUAUAUUUAAGAUUAAAGAAGGUGAUAUUGAUGUGCAAAUAUGAGAGUAAAUUGACAGACAGAUAACCUAAAAAAGUACAGUAAAAUAAAGUUAAGAGUUGUGAUGAAUACCUAAAGGUCCAUUGCCAGAUGAAUGUGAAGACGGAAUGUGAUUUAUAUAUAUAGUGGAAUAUUAUUCAAUUAAAAAGAAAAUGCUAACACUUGCUAAUAUAUAUAAACCUUCAAGACAUUAUGCUAAGUGAAAGAAGCCAGAUACCAAAGGACAAAUAUUGCACUGUUCCACAUAUAUGAAGUGAACAUCACAUAUUGCUGAAGUUCUCAUCAUCAGAAAGAGGCAGAGCUAAGAUUUAAAUCCAGACAUGCCUGGUUCUGAAUUCAGUUGUCUUCCUACACCCAGGAGCUUAUUACAUGCAUUGUGCUAGUCUUCCUGGAAAUCAGGCAAACUCAGUCCACUGCACCUCAUCUCCUUAUGUAAUAACCUGGAGAGCGGUGAGAGCCAUCUGCUUCAAGAGCGACAUAUUUGAGUCCAUAAGGUAAUAGGUUGGCAGAGAACAGAAGGAUUAUGGCAUUGCCAUUUGGCAUUCUUGACUUACUCUGCAUUUAUAAAAUCGAAAUACAUAGUCCAUCAUGUUCUCACAGAGCCUACCAUUAUCAGUCAUUCUGAAAUAAACAUGGUUAGGGACAUCAUAUUCAAAAUAAGUGAUCCUUGUUUUCGGGAAUGAUGUCUGGCAGGAGGAGUUUUUAAAUCCUGCUUUCUGAAGCACUAGCUUACAAAUGACUUUGUGAAGUGUAUUUUGAUUCUGGGGCCCAAGAAGGAGAAAAACAAGUAAGGGAGAAAAACAUAGGCUGGAUCUUAAGAUCACAAGAUAACAGAUGGAUUAAAGGGUAGAAGCCAGAGCAGAGGUUCCAAAACAAGAUUGAUCAUUCAAAUUCAUCUGAAGAACUUUAAAUAUAUGUAUUUACCUGAACCCAGCUUCAGGAAUGAGGCUCAGACAUCUGUGUAUUUAAAAUCUCCUGUGGUUAUUCUGAUAAUUAGCCUCAGUUUUGAGUCAUCUAACAAAGAAAAAGCAAAACAUAUGUCAAUCAGUUUAUCUUACUGUAAUUAAACUUCAGUGGGAAACAUGAGGUGACCCCAAAGAACUGGUUAAGUGUGGCUUAAGAAUUAGUUAAGCAAAUGUACCAAAAGACAAUUUUAAAAAACCAAAUAAAAAGAAAUUUUAGUUUAUUCUCAGGGGCUUUCACAGGAGUCUAUAAAAAUCUCAAAAACAUCCAGGAAGCUCCCAUCGAAUAAUUUGGCUACCUGAAGUGCUGAAUAAAAGGAGCUCUCCCAAAAGAAGCUGUGAAUUCUCUAUCAGGCCCAUGUCCACUCUUCUAGUCAUAGCCUUACUUCUUAAAGAAAGAGAGAAGCUCUAAUCCAAAUCCAAACAUAGGACAUAUGGCGAAGAUUAUUCUGAGAGACACAGUCCCAGAUUCUCCUCUGCUAUACAGGUGUGACAAAAAAGGAGCAAGAACAAAGACUCUAACAUAAUCCUUAGAUGUUUAUAAUAGAAAAAAGAAUGGAAAGAAAUAAACUUUAGCAUUUACACAGGUUGAGCUGACCUAAUCUGAAAAUCCAAAAUCCAAACUGCUAAAAAACUGAUUGAGUUCUGAAGCUUUGAGUGUCAAAAUGGCUCCACAAGUAGAAAGCUCCACAUCUGACCUCAUGUGAUAGGUCACGGUCAAAAUGCAAUCAAAAUUUUGCUUCAUGCCCAACAUUAUUUAAAAUAUUGUAUAAAAUUACCUUUGGCUAUAUAUUAAUAUGUAAGGUAUAUAUAAAACAUUAGUGAUUUUUGGUUUAGUCUUGGAUCCUAUCCCCAUAAUAUCUCAAUAUAUGUAUGCAAAUAUUCCAACCUCCCUGCGCCCAAAAAAUCCAAAAUCCUAAGCACUUCCAAAAUCUAACAGUAAAACAGGCUGAGUAUCCCAAGCAUUUUGGAUAACAGAUGUUCAACCUGUAUCACUUGGGGUCCAUUCAGGGGAACAAACCCCACGAGGUAUUUCAACAGAGAUAAUUUCAUAUAGGGAAUUUGUUAAUCAGAUGAUGGGGAACUGAAAAGGAAAAUGAGAACAUUAGAAGAGAUCAUUACAAAAAGCUGCUACCUCCCCUCAGGCUGGAGGAAUGAAAGGAAGCUGAGAUCAGGAAGCUCAUUGGGAAGCUGAUCAAAACUUACAAGGUUCAUAGAGGGGCCCAAAGAUUUAGGACUCAGAAUUCCAAGGAGGGUGUUACCUACCUCCAAGGAGGCUGCUACUGAAAUCUCAGGAGCUUGGAGGGAGGGUCUCACACAAUGGGGGCCUAACCUCUGAAGUGAGGAGCUACCAGCUAGUGCUGGUACCUCAGAAGUUGGGAAGAGGUCCUGUGAUGUUGAGAUGCAGACACAUAAUGAGUGGGCUCUGCAGCUGGUGGUCGUGAAGGGGCACAAUGACUCUGUUAGUGGGAAUGGCCCGAUGAUCUGAAAGCUGUAAUUAACAGCUGCUGCCAGGGUAAAAGGCCAAAGUGGGGUGAUCUGAUGGGAAAAAAUAAACAAGCAGAAAUGAACAAGUUCCUUCUCCCCUUCUCCUGCCAUUUACUCUUCCCCUAGUUCUUCCUAUUGAUGGAAAUUAAUAGUAAGCCUUCUGACAAAGGAGACAUGUUGUCUUCAGAACCAUCAUCACAAAGUAGAGGCUAGGAAAGUAGAUGUGGAACCUAAUACCGGGUGAAUCAUUCAUCGCACAGUUUCAAAGGUGGCAACAGAAUUAGCCAAAAGCAAGUAUAGGAUGAAAAUAACAAAGGGAAGGGCAGAAAUAAAAUAAGACAUAAACAUUUGAUAGAGAGGACCAACAAAACAAAAUUUUAAUUCAGUGGGAAAACAAAAUAAAAUUCUUACAAGCUUGAGUUAAAAAAAAGGAGGAAAAAAGCCACAAUGUUAUGACUGAAAAAAAAAGGUAACUAAAAAUGCUGCAAGGUUAAAUUUAAUGAAAAUAUGAACAACUUUAUGUUAACACAUUUGGAAACAGAUAACACAGGCAUAUUGGAGAGCAAUACAAUUAUUAUAGCUGUAAUCUUAGGGAUUAUUUAAUUAAUCCUUUAGAACAUUCAAUUUCUAUAUAUUAAUAAAAAUAUAAAUAUAUAUUCAAUAUAUGAUAUGUCUCCAUGUAUUUAUAUGAUAUAUUUUAAUAUAGAUGUAUAUUUUUAUAUAUUUCUAUUUCUAUGUAUGUAUAAUUCUAUAAAUAUAUAGAAAUUGAGUGUUCUAAAGGAUUAAUGGAAUUAAAAAAGUAGUUAAAAAAUUCCCACUCAAAAAAAGGAUUAAAAACUCCGGGUUUAGGCUCUUUCAGAAAAUUGAAAAUCCCUGUGCUUAAUUACUUUUUUUAUGUCCUUAAUUUCUUCAAAUAUUUCAUAUAUAUCUGUUUUAUAUCCUGUACCUAAUAAUUUCAGUAUCUACAGUCCUUCAAAGGUGCACUAUCUCUAGCUAUUAUUUAUCAUUUUUGUUGAUGUUCACCCAUGGUUGCUUGUGUAUUCUUUGACUGUACUUGCUGUUCUUUGCAUCUGAAUUUACUGCCUGAUUUUAAUACAUAUAAUCUCCAUGUACCUAAAUUAAAAUAUCUUUUCUCCAGAG
rnacentral:lncRNA from 10 species